AUGAAGACAAAAGCGGGUCACGGUGGCAUUGAAAACUUCACGGAGGCGCCACCGUGUCAAGGUCAGAAUCUCAACAAAUUUUCAUAUUCUUGUUCGUCACCCUCUUCUGAUCAGCAUUUUAGAAAUAACUUCUGCAGAAAACAAACGAAAACAAUAGAUCUACAAAGGGGUUUUGAAACCCUAAACACAAAUCAACAGCGAAAGGCGAAAGAUAUAAAGAAAGAAACGGAUUUGAUACCCUCUUUGUUCAAAUAA